CUCCCAAUUGUAAGGAAAUUAGGAAUAUGGUUUGCAUCAAACGAAAGCAACAGCGAAGCAGGACAUGCUUUGGCCAGCCUCCAACAUUUACACCGCCUUCGAAAAUUGAAAAUUAUAAACUGUUCGGAGAUUCUUAGUCUGCCGAAUUCAUUUCCAGAGGCAAUCACAAAAAUAACCUUGCGACAAGUGUGCUUAGAAGACGGUGACUGCAUGAAAGUGCUGGGAAAUCUCGUCAAUCUUCAGAUUCUGAAAUUACAAAGCUGCUUGCUUUCCAGUCAGCUCUACAUCUUUGGAGAUUCGUUUCCUGCACUCAUAUUUCUUAAAUUGGAAAAUUUGAGGAUUAAAGAAUGGAAACAGGGGGAAGGUGGAAUGCUGGACCAAAGGCAUUUGGUUGUCGAUCGAUGCUUUGGGUUGAACAUGCUUCCUUGGGAAUUAUGCAAUUUGAUUAACUUGCGAGAGGUGGAGGUGUUAGAAGGCAUAUUAGUGUCGGUAAAGGUGCUUCAGGAAUUGCAGAGGAAGGCUGAGAUUAAGGUACUGAUCGAUCCUCCCCUAGAUGACUUUCCUGGUGAAUCCGCCAAUUGAUAGAUUUACCACUUAGUGUAAUUUAUCUAGCUUUAUGUUUUAUACUAUUACGAGGUCGUCCCCUCGAGUGUUGUUGACUUGGGUUGCAGCCAAAGCAAACAAGGGAAGGCAUGAUCUUUGUUUCGUUUUCUAAACUCCAAGUCCUUUAAACUGGAAAAUUUGAUGAUUAAAGGAUGGAACAGGGGAGAGGUGCGCUGCGGCAGCUUUAAGGCAUUUGGUUAUCGAUCGAUGCUAUGAGUUGACUUUGCUCCCUUCAGAGAUAUUCUGUUGGAAUUUCUUUGGAGAGGUGGAGGUGUAAGAGAGCAACUCGAUAGAUGCAGAGACAUUGCAGGAAUUUCAGAAAACGUCUGGGUUCAAGCUACUGAUCGAUCAACCUCUAGAUGGUGAUUUUUAUGGAGAAAUCGCAGCGUCAAAAUUUGAACAUUUCUAGUUUUAUGUUUCUGCAAUGCUUGCUAAUGUGGUGAUAGGGAACUUCGUCACGUACAGAAAUUGUUGUUUCCUAGUCCGUUGGUUUUGUCUGCUUGUCAUGUAAUGAUUUAUAGUUAAGGAAUUUAUGCUUUACGUC